CGAAGAGGAAAAGGCAACAGCCAAACAAGAAGUGGAAGGAGAGUGAGGUGCACUCUAUAAUAGAGUUUUUAAUGGAAGAGGCGGAACUUGAGGCAGUUGUUUUAUAAACGAUUUUUACAUAAAUCGCAGUUGGAUGUCUCAUGAGGUCUGGUGCGGUGGAAGGUCCGACAUUUUAAGGCGCAUUGGCGUAAAGCCAAUGACUAGCUCGCGUCAACGGGUGCAGGACUACAAAAUGAAGCUGACGGCAGAACCAUCAAAGCAAAAAUUGCUAAAAUGUGUCCAUACUACGACCAGCCGGCCGGCCAUGUAAUCGUUACUGGUUGAAAGCAACCUUCCUCCGCCUCAGGUAUGCCCAGUUAGUCCUGCACCAGAAUUCGAA